AUUUCUUCGAGGGUGCAGUGGGGCUCCGCCUGGCGCUGGGCUCCCUCUCUGGGUUGGGGUCAGUGGGGUGACCCUUUGGGGGUGCCGCGUGGGAGCCAGACUUGCUGGGCUUCCUCUCCUUGUGCUUCUCUCUGUGCUUCUCGGUCGGGCUCUUGGGGUGCUUCGCUGGGUGGGGGUUCGCCCCUUCUGUGGGAUUGGGGACAUCCAACCU
rnacentral:lncRNA from 1 species